rnacentral:miRNA from 1 species
UGUGAGUGUGUGAGUGUGUGAGUGUGUGUGUGUGUUGUGCACAUGUGCACACAAAGGGACUCUCCCA